UGGGGGAUAUUGCACAAUGGAGGAAACUCUGAUGCAGCGACGCCGCGUGAGGGAAGACGGUCUUCGGAUUGUAAACCUCUGUCUUAGGGGAAGAAAAUGACGGUACCCUAAGAGGAAGCUCCGGCUAACUACGUGCCAGCAGCCGCGGUAAUACGUAGGGAGCGAGCGUUAAUCGGAAUCACUGGGCGUAAAGCGCACGUAGGCUGUUUGUCAAGUCAGAGGUGAAAUCCCACGGCCCAACCGUGGAACUGCCUUUGAAACUGGCAGACUUGAGUGUCGGAGAGGGUGGCGGAAUUCCAGGUGUAGGAGUGAAAUCCGUAGAUAUCGAGAGGAACACUCGUGGCGAAGGCGGGUUCCUGGACAUUAACUGACGCUGAGGUACGAAGGCUAGGGUAGCGAAAG
rnacentral:rRNA from 1 species